UCUGGUUGAUUCUGCCAGUAGUCAUAUGCUUGUCUCAAAGAUUAAGCCAUGCAUGUCUAAGUAUAAGCAAUUGUACGGUGAAACUGCGAAUGGCUCAUUAAAUCAGUUAUCGUUUAUUUGAUAGUACCUUACUACAUGGAUACCUGUGGUAAUUCUAGAGCUAAUACAUGCUGAAAACCUCGACUUCGGAAGGGGUGUAUUUAUUAGAUAAAAAACCAAUGCCCCUCGGGGCUCCUUGGUGAUUCAUAAUAACUUAACGAAUCGCAUGGCCUUGCGCCGGCGAUGGUUCAUUCAAAUUUCUGCCCUAUCAACUUUCGAUGGUAGGAUAGUGGCCUACCAUGGUGGCAACGGGUAACGGGGAAUUAGGGUUCGAUUCCGGAGAGGGAGCCUGAGAAACGGCUACCACAUCCAAGGAAGGCAGCAGGCGCGCAAAUUACCCAAUCCCGACACGGGGAGGUAGUGACAAUAAAUACUGAUACGGGGCUCUUUUGGGUCUCGUAAUUGGAAUGAGAACAAUUUAAAUCCCUUAACGAGGAACAAUUGGAGGGCAAGUCUGGUGCCAGCAGCCGCGGUAAUUCCAGCUCCAAUAGCGUAUAUUAAAGUUGUUGCAGUUAAAAAGCUCGUAGUUGAACCUUGGGUCUGGCUGGCCGGUCCGCCUCACCGCGAGUACUGGUCCGGCUGGACCUUUCCUUCUGGGGAGCCCCAUGGCCUUCACUGGCUGUGGGGGGAACCAGGACUUUUACUGUGAAAAAAUUAGAGUGUUCAAAGCAGGCCUUUGCUCGGAUACAUUAGCAUGGAAUAAUAGAAUAGGACGUGCGGUUCUAUUUUGUUGGUUUCUAGGACCGCCGUAAUGAUUAAUAGGGAUAGUCGGGGGCGUCAGUAUUCAGCUGUCAGAGGUGAAAUUCUUGGAUUUGCUGAAGACUAACUACUGCGAAAGCAUUC
rnacentral:rRNA from 1 species